CCCUUAGAUGUCCUGGGCCGCACGCGCGUUACACUGAUGCAUUCAACGAGCUUAUAACCUUGGCCGAGAGGCCUGGGCAAUCUUGUUAACGUGCAUCGUGAUAGGGAUAGAUUAUUGAAAUUAUUAAUCUUCAACGAGGAAUGCCUAGUAGGCGCAAGUCAUCAGCUUGCGUCGAUUACGUCCCUGCCCUUUGUACACACCGCCCGUCGCUCCUACCGAUUGGGUGUGCUGGUGAAAUGUUCGGAUCGGCCGUUUGUCGCGGUUUCCGCGUCAUGUGGCUGAGAAGUUCAUUAAACCCUCCCACCUAGAGGAAGGAGAAGUCGUAACA
rnacentral:rRNA from 1 species